rnacentral:ncRNA from 1 species
GCAAAGGCAGCGACGGGGAGGAGUAGACGGUCCCCGCGAUGACAGAGAGCCGGCGGUUGGUGCGAGCCGGUAUCGCGGCCCGUUGAAGGUCGCCCUUGAGCCGCCGGGUCGAUCCGUUCGGCGAGCGGGGUAGGCUCGGCCGGUUGGCGCCCGUUAGUGAGCCAAUGAGGGGAUCGACAAAUGUCGAUCCCAAAGCUGGGUGGUACCACGAAGGCUUUGGCCUCUCGUCCCGAUG